ensembl:lncRNA
AAAAACGGAAGCCAUGAAAAAAACGGAAGCUACGAAAAAAACGAAAGUUACGAAAAAAAUAUAGACUCUGAUUUUAAUCUCUUUCAGAAAUACCCUAAGGACGUUAAUUGGGUCAAAAGCAGAUCUUCCACGAAAAAAGCAAAAAAUGUAUUCGGUUUUGAAGAAACUUUAAAGUUUAUGAAGUAUAGAGAAUUGUUACGAAAAUAUAUGGGUACGUUUUAUUAUUAUAGUGCAUUUAAAUGUGCAACUUAUAUUAUUAUAUAUGUAUUAAUUGUUAAAAUGUGUACACAAAUUUCUAAAAAUUUAAAAUCACCUGACCAUGUUAAUGAGAAUAUAAAUGAUUCGAAUAAUAUCUUAAAUGUUAAUACAAAUAAUUUAAUUUUAAAUAUAUAUAAUUUAGAUGGUAUUAUUCAAAUUUUAUGUUGCUCAGUUUUAUUUAUUUGUAUAAUAAUAUUGUAUAAGUUGGGUAUACCUUCUAAUUAUUUAUUAGCUGGACGGUUAACAAUUUUAUUUAUGUUUUUAUAUUUUUUACAAAUACCUCUUGUUAUAUAUCUUAAUUUUAGACACCUUAAAAAUUAUGAAAGAGUUCAGACUCCAACUGGUAUUAGUGAUAAUAGUAGUGAUAGUAAAAAUAUUACUUUACAUGACAACAAUUCAAGUGGUAAUAAUAUAAGUACAUUAUUGGAUAAAGGUGGAAGUGCUAUAGAUGCACUUAAUAAACUUCUUGAAAAGAAAGACUAUUUUAAUUUACAAUUAUUACGUGUUUACAAUACUUUAUAUGUUGAUACAUGGAAUUUAUUAGUUUAUACUGUAUUAAUAAUGUUUAUUUCGAGUUAUGCUAUUUAUCAUAAAUUAAUAUACCCACAUCUGUUGAAAUUUUAUUUAGAUCGUUUUUUUUUAAGUUCAUAUGCAAUAGUUAAAAAAGAAAUGAUAAAUUUUAGAGUACCUAACAAUAUUGAUGCUUAUCACUUAAACAAGAUGAAUAGCUAUUUAUUCAAUUCAUUGUAUAAGAAACAAGAGCAUCCUUCAAAAGAUUUAGAGAGUAGUACAAGAAGUUCUAUAGGAUAUAACAUUGUUAUUAAAAAAGAAAAAACAACAAUACUUAAUAAAAUAUGUAACAAAAUUAUGCCCUCAUGUAUUUGUAAAAAAAAAAAAAAUACUAAUUUAAAUUUUUUUAUUAUAUUUUAUAUAGGAGAGUUAGAUAAUAAAGGUAGACCCCAUGGUUUUGGUUAUUGGCGUGGGAUGAGUAACGAGGGUGAAGUUUUGAUUGGAUAUUGGUUUAGGGGUAUACCUAUUGGACCUUUUAAGUGUAGGGAUUUUAAAACUGGUUCAGGGUUUAUGUGUAUAAAAAUAGGUUACGGUCGAACCAAUUGUGAACUUAAUGAUUUGGAUAUAGGGCUGGCAGAUACAGAGUGUUGUGUGAGUGGUGCGUUUUAUAGAACUUUUCCGAGAGUCGUUUUCUAUAACCUAAACUUAACAAACACCUAUUCACAUCAUAAAAAAAAUAAGGAACGUCAUGGAAAUAUGGAAAAAAAAGAAUGUCGUGAAUAUUUAAUGGUUAAUAAGGCAAGUAACGAUAUACUUCAUUUAGAUUAUUCAAAAUUGUUACAAGAUGAUUCUGAUGAAAAUGAAAAAGAAGAUAAAAAAAUGGGUAAUUUAAUUCAUAGUGCAUAUCAAGAAAAUAUGCAAACAAAUUAUUUUACUACAUCAAAUAAUAUUAAUAAAACAUCUAACUCUAAUAUUAAGGAAAAUGGUAAAACUAUAAAUAAUGAAUAUACACAUAACAUAUCUUCAACUCCACAUUUACAAAAAAAAGAUACAAUUUUAAAAGGGGAUUUAUUAAAUUAUAACGAUAUAUAUAAUUUAACAUAUGAUCUUAACAAUUUGUCAUUAGAAAGUGAAAUAAAUUGUGUUUUAAAUGAUUCUGUUGAAAAUUGUGAAAAUGAAAAUAGUAGUGGAGGUAGUCAUACUAAUCAGGAUAAUAAUAAUUAUAACGUCCGAAGUAAUGAAAAUAGUAGUAAUAGUGGUAAUAGUAGUAAUAUUGGUAAUAGUAAUAUUGG